rnacentral:rRNA from 1 species
GACGAACGCUGGCGGCGUGCUUAACACAUGCAAGUCGAACGGAAAGGCCCUGCUUUUGUGGGGUGCUCGAGUGGCGAACGGGUGAGUAACACGUGAGUAACCUGCCCUUGACUUUGGGAUAACUUCAGGAAACUGGGGCUAAUACCGGAUAGGAGCUCCUGCUGCAUGGUGGGGGUUAGAAAGUUUCGGCGGUUGGGGAUGGACUCGCGGCUUAUCAGCUUGUUGGUGGGGUAGUGGCUUACCAAGGCUUUGACGGGUAGACGGCCUGAGAGGGUGACCGGCCACAUUGGGACUGAGAUACGGCCCAGACUCCUACGGGAGGCAGCAGUGGGGAAUAUUGCACAAUGGGCGGAAGCCUGAUGCAGCAACGCCGCGUGCGGGAUGACGGCCUUCGGGUUGUAAACCGCUUUCGCCUGUGACGAAGCGUGAGUGACGGUAAUGGGUAAAGAAGCACCGGCUAACUACGUG